GAUGAACGCUGGCGGCGUGCCUAAUACAUGCAAGUCGAGCGAACAGACGAGGAGCUUGCUCCUCUGACGUUAGCGGCGGACGGGUGAGUAACACGUGGAUAACCUACAUAUAAGACUGGGAUAACUUCGGGAAACCGGAGCUAAUACCGGAUAAUAUAUUGAACCGGAUGGUUCAAUAGUGAAAGACGGUUUUGCUGUUACUUAUAGAUGGAUCCGCGCCGCAUUAGCUAGUUGGUAAGGUAACGGCUUACCAAGUCAACGAUGCGUAGCCGACCUGAGAGGGUGACCGGCCAUGCUGGAACAGGAAGACGGUCCAGACUCCUACGGGAGGCAGGAGUAGGGAACCUUCCGAAAAGGGAGAAAGCCUGACGGAGCAACGCCGCGUGGGUGAUGAGGGUCUUCGGAUCGUAAAACUCUGUUAUUAGGGAAGAACAAAUGUGUAAGUAACUAUGCACGUCUUGACGGUACCUAGUCAGAAAGCAACGGCUAACUACGUG
rnacentral:rRNA from 1 species